rnacentral:tRNA from 1 species
UUCUCCCUUAACUCAGCUGGUAGAGUGAACGACUGUUAAUCGUUAUGUCGCAGGUUCGAGCCCUGCAGGGAGAGU